AUGGAGCUGGAGAAUGGCACUGUGAAGACUGGGUUCUUUCUCCUGGGAUUCAGCGACCAUCUGGAACUUCAGAGUCUCCUUUUUGCAGAAUUUUUUUCCAUCUACUCUGUUACUCUGAUGGGGAACCUUGGAAUGAUUUUAUUAAUCACAAUCAGUUCCCACUUGCACACUCCUAUGUACUUUUUCCUCUGUGUGUUGUCCUUCAUAGAUGCAUGCUACUCUUCUGUCAUUGCUCCCAAAUUACUUGUGAACUUGGUUUCUGAAAAGAAGACCAUUUCUUACAAUGGCUGUGUUGCACAGUUAUAUUUCUUCUGCUCUUUAGUUGACACAGAAUCUUUCCUCUUGGCUGCCAUGGCUUAAGACCGGUACAUAGCAAUCUGUAACCCGCUGCUCUAUACAGUGAUUAUGUCCAAGAAGGUUUGUUGCCAGCUUGCAAUUGGAGCAUUUUUGGGGGGCACUAUGAGCUCAAUUAUUCAUACCACGAACACUUUCCAUCUGUCAUUCUGCUCCAGAGAUAUUAACCAUUUCUUUUGUGAUAUCUCCCCACUCUUCUCUCUGUCCUGCACUGACACAUACAUGCAUGACAUCAUUCUGGUGGUCUUUGCCAGUUUUGUGGAAGCAAUCUGUCUUCUAUCAGUUCUCCUUUCUUAUGUCUUCAUUAUGGCAGCUAUUCUUAGAACAGGUUCUGUGGAGGGAAGAAGAAGAGGGUUCUCCACUUGUGCUUCCCACCUGACUGUGGUCACUAUGUAUCAUGGUACCUUGAUCUUCAUUUAUUUGCGUCCCAGCACUGGCCAUUCACUGGAUAUUGACAAAGUGACCUCUGUGUUCUAUACUUUGAUUAUACCUAUGUUGAACCCUCUAAUUUACAGUCUAAGGAACAAAGAUGUCAAAAAUGCUUUUAGAAAAGUGAUUGGCCGAAAA
rnacentral:lncRNA from 1 species